CUUGAGGUGUUACCAGAUCUACUGAGAGAAGGACGCAGUAAUUCACACUGAAAGACAGUAGACCUGUACUAUCUCAAAAAUCGGCAUAACAAGAAGAGUUUUAUUUAUUAUUUUUAAAUGAAAGUCUACCUUGUCACUGCUUUAAAAAAAUAUUGACAAAUUUAAAGUUGAUUUUUAUAUUGGGAGUUCUGGUUUAAGAUGGUGUCAGAAUUGGGAUCCAAAGUAGAGCUUCUAAUGAUCCCCAUGAGCACUGAGUGACCAUCCGAGGUACCUGCCAGUCUUACUGUGUCCUUUGGUCUCUUGGAGCAGCUGGGGACUAUGAGUCUCCGGAUUCCGGGAUCUAAAUGGGUAGUCAUGAUGAGAACGCAAAGACUGAAUCUUUGGAGAACAUCAGAGAAUCACUGCCCUUGCUAUUCACACUGCAGCAAAACUUCGGGAACUUGAAC